UUAUCUUCUCAAUCCAUGGCGAGCAAUCAACCACUGUCAAUUUUCUAAUUAUUAAUGGAACUCCUAAGUACCUUACUAGAAGCAUUCCUCUUUUAAACCCAAUAAGAUUUCAUAUAUGUUGAAGAUCCUCUUCUAAGAUUUUUGAAGAAAAAGUCUCACUCUUGCCAGGAUUAAAUUGUUGGCCUGAGAAGAAAUAAAGCUGUUGCAAGACACAUUGUAUUCCC
rnacentral:lncRNA from 1 species